rnacentral:rRNA from 1 species
CCUACGGGAGGCAGCAGUGAGGAAUCUUGGUCAAUGGCCGGAAGGCUGAACCAGCCAAGCCGCGUGAAGGACGAAGGUGCCAAGCAUUGUAAACUUCUUUUGUCAAGGGACAAAAUCAGGCUCGAGAGCCUGACCGAGGGUACUUGAAGAAAAAGCAUCGGCUAACUCCGUGCCAGCAGCCGCGGUAAUACGGAGGAUGCGAGCGUGCUCCGGAUUUAUUGGGUUUAACGGGUGCGUAGGCGGACUGUUAAGUCAGCGGUAAAAGCCCGGGGCUCAACCCCGGCGAGCCGUUGAAACUGGCUGUCUUGAGAUGUCGAGAGGUAUGCGGAAUGCGCAGUGUAGCGGUGAAAUGCUUAGAUAUUGCGCAGAACUCCGAUUGCGAAGGCAGCAUACCGGCGGCGAUCUGACGCUGAGGCACGAAAGCGUGGGUAGCGAACAGGAUUAGAUACCCUUGUAGUC